GGAUGCGAGGGAGAUCUGGCUGUGACAUCUGUCGCCCCAUUGAUCGCCAGUGUUGAUUCUGGUUAUCUGGUUGCCUAGGCAGGUGUCCCCUUCCUCCUUCACUGCUCCAUGUGUGUCCCUCCUAAAGCUGUGUGCUCUGUUAGUCGAAGAGGAUGGCCUUCCCCAAAUAGAGAUGGACAGGACCGGUCUUCGGUCAAGAGCAUAUAAGUAGCUGUGCUCCCCUGCUAGAACCUUCAAACAAGCUCACAAGGUCCAUUUAGGAGAAUGUAGGAGAAUGUAGGGUAGGCAAGCUUCUAAGACUCCAGACAAAUCCAAAUGAGACACUGUAUGUGGCAGUCUGCCUUUCUUU
ensembl:misc_RNA 7SK 7SK RNA